CUACACGGGUUUCUAAUCCUGUUCGCUACCUACGCUUUCGUCCAUCAGCGUCAAUACAGUAUUAGUGAUCUGCCUUCGCAAUCGGUAUUCUGUGUAAUAUCUAUGCAUUUCACCGCUACACUACACAUUCUAACCACUUCAUACUCAUUCAAGGUCUACAGUAUCAAUGGCAGUUCUACAGUUAAGCUGCAGACUUUCACCACUGACUUAUAAACCCGCCUACGGACCCUUUAAACCCAAUGAUUCCGGAUAACGCUUGGAUCCUCCGUAUUACCGCGGCGGCUGGCAC
rnacentral:rRNA from 1 species